CCACCUGCGUACAGCAGGGAGCAACAAACUUAAGAGCGAGUGGCUGUUAACCACCAGGUCCGAGGUUCGAGUCCUCGCGGGGGAGCCA
rnacentral:tRNA from 1 species